rnacentral:rRNA from 1 species
UACGUAGGGUCCGAGCGUUGUCCGGAAUUACUGGGCGUAAAGAGCUCGUAGGUGGUUUGUCGCGUUGUUCGUGAAAACUCACAGCUCAACUGUGGGCGUGCGGGCGAUACGGGCAGACUAGAGUACUGCAGGGGAGACUGGAAUUCCUGGUGUAGCGGUGGAAUGCGCAGAUAUCAGGAGGAACACCGGUGGCGAAGGCGGGUCUCUGGGCAGUAACUGACGCUGAGGAGCGGAAGCGUGGGGAGCGAACAGG